rnacentral:rRNA from 1 species
GACGAACGCUGGCGGCGGGCUUAACACAUGCAAGUCGAGCGGGAAGGCCCUGCUUUUGUGGGGUGCUCGAGUGGAGAAGGGGUGAGUAACCCGUUAGUAACCUACCCUUUCCUUUGGGAUAACGUCAGACCACUGGGGCUCAUACCGGGUAGGAGCUCCUGCUGCAUGGUGGGGGUUGGAUGGUUUCGGCGGUUGGGGGUGGACUCGCGGCUUAACAGCUUGUUUGUGGGGUGGUGUCUUACCAAGGCUUUGCCGGGUGGCCGGCCUGAUAGGGUCACCGGCCACAGUGGGACGGAGCUACGGCCCAGACCCCUACGGGAGGCAGAAGAGGGGAAUAUUGCACUAUGGGCGGAAGCCUGAUGCAGCAACGCCGCGUGCGGGAUGACGGCCAUCCGGUUGUAAACCGCUGUCGCCUGUGACGAAGCGUGAGUGACGGUAAUGGGUAAAGAAGCACCGGCUAACUACGUG